GCGAGCGUUAAUCGGAAUUACUGGGCGUAAAGACGCAUGCAGGUGGUUUGUUUAAGUUCUAGAUGUGAAAGACCCGGGGCGUCGAACCUCCGGAAAUUGCAUUUGUAAACUGGCAGACUAGAGUACUGUAGAGGGGGGUAGGAAGUUUCAGGUGUAGCGGUGAAAUGCGUAGAGAUCUGAAGGAAUACCGGUGGCGAAGGCGGCCCCCUCGGACAGAUACUGACACUCAGAUGCGAAAGCGUGGGGAGCAAACAGGAUUAGAUACCCCUGGUAG
rnacentral:rRNA from 1 species